AUCCAGCUGACGAGUCCCAAAAGGACGAAACACUCUUCCUGGAU
rnacentral:hammerhead_ribozyme from 1 species